UUGACGUCACACCUCACUGUCUGGAGUACUUCUGACGUGGAGGAAGAGUUAGCUCUUUGUUCUCCACCUUAAAGAAAAAGAAAUCUAAAUUAUGGCUCUGAUUCAGUACGGCGUUUCAACACCUACUUUAAAGCAUCAGAUGAGCUCCAAGAAAUGUCUCCCCUGGUCAUGCCCAGGCAGCUCUAGUUUGAAUGCAUGACGAUACCUCUUAGUUGGUCUUCAUCAUCCCCCAGAACCACGUUAUGGGAAAUUGCAGCGGUAUCCUUCAGCACAGUGUCUCUCAGCUCUCCUGUGGUUAUACCGAUGUCACACAGUGGGUAAUGGUUAGACGUGGACUACCCACUGUGACUGCAGCUAAAAGAGCUACAGAAAUAUAGCUGUUCACCCAUGUACACAAAGGCUGGCCUCCCCAUGGCCCUGUAGAUGUCUUCAUCCAUCAGUUCCUUCAAGUGCUGUUGUUUGGUUCAUCUCUCCUUCCUGUUGUAUAUCGGUCUACAGAACCCUGCAACAUCUUGCCACGGAGACUGACUCAGCCAUACUGGAGGUGAAGAAAAGUCUGAUCCGCUUCUCUCCAUGUGAAGCUUGGAAAUGGCAGUGGAGCACCUACACAGCUUGGCCAACGACAAAUGUGUUGGAAAUUCCUCAAGGGAAAGAAAGCCCCUCUCCUGCUAGCUGAUGUUUACUGGUGAAGAGAAUGUCCAGCAGAAGAGAGCCGAUGGCCACAUGAGCGGUCUGUGUGAUGUGGGUGCCCACAGAAGUGAUCCUGGCGCAUCACCAGGAACUCUGACCCAGGCGCUGAAACCACCAGUGAACAUGGGUUGCACAAGCCUGUGUGACUCUGCCCUGGCCGGCUGGAAGCUGUCGUACCACCAGCUGGAAACAGAUGAGUGACGGCUGAGGAGUCAGGAGAAGCUUUCUGCAUGGCCUCUCGGCAAAACCCAAUGUUUCUCAGCAGUCGCAUGGGCAUGUUUAACCCACCUUUGCAGUGAAUGCUUAUGUACCAAGGCCAAUAUAGUUUUCGAAAUUUGUUUUGUUCUCCUUAGGCUUUUCCAUGAGGCAUUUCUAAUACUUAUUCUGUACUUACCUAAACUCAUUUAGUCUCCAUUUUUAAAAGAUUUAUUCUUUAUAUUAAAAGUGGGUUUACCACCUUUCCGAUGAAGCCAGCUGUCCAAGACCCAGAAACCUUCCAGAGUCCUGACCUUGUUCCAGGGUAUGAUCUUGGCUUUGAACUGUGUUUCUCAGCUUUUUUCAUGGCAUUUGCUUUAUUCCAGGGAAAAGAUGUCUCCAAGUCCCUUUAAUGACAGGGCUUCUCUGAAGCAAGGGUCUAAAAUUAUCAUAUCCCCCCCCCCCCGUGCGAGUAAUCCUACAGAUACCAGUGGUCUUAACUAGCACAGCUGAGUAGAAGUUGCCAAGAGUUCUGCAAAAAAAAAAAAAAAGAGAAAAACAAUGUCAGCCGACUGCAAGCCAAGGAGGAGGUUUUUUGGAAAUUAACAAAAACUGAUUUGUACUUUGGGUGUGUUCUAGAUUUAUCAAAGCCACGUCUUCAUUCUGGUAAUAAGCUCUACUAAAAAGCGAACUCUUCUACCCAAAACUGACUUUCGACUUUCUAAUUUAACAAUAAUAGCAGCCUUUCUGAAAUUAUAGUUUGUGUUACUGAUGAGUUCAAAAUUAAAAUUAAAACCUUAUCCUGCAA